GGAGAGGUGGGUGAGCGGUUUAAACCACAGUCCUGCUAAGACUGCGUCUGGCGAAAGCUGGACCGAGAGUUCGAAUCUCUCCCUCUCCGCCA
rnacentral:tRNA from 1 species